AUACGGAGGAUGCGAGCGUUAUCCGGAUUUAUUGGGUUUAAAGGGUGCGUAGGCUGUGCGUUAAGUCAGGGGUGAAAUGCCGUCGCUCAACGACGGAGCUGCCCUUGAUACUGGCGUGCUGGAGUACGGAUGCCGUUGGAGGAAUGAGUGGUGGAGCGGUGAAAUGCUUCAAUAUCACUCAGAACACCGAUUGCGAAGGCAUCUGACGAAUCCGUCACUGACGCUGAGGCACGAAAGCGUGGGGAUAGAACAGGAUUAGAUACCCUGGUAUUCCACGCCGUAAACGAUGAUGACUAACCGUCGGCGAUAGACAGCCGGUGGCCAAGCGAAAGCGAUAAGUCAUCCACCUGGGGAGUACGUCGGCAACGAUGAAACUCAAAGGAAUUGACGGGG
rnacentral:rRNA from 1 species